rnacentral:rRNA from 1 species
AGCGGCGGACGGGUGAGUAACGCGUGGGAACGUGCCCUUCUCUACGGAAUAGCCCCGGGAAACUGGGAGUAAUACCGUAUACGCCCUUUGGGGGAAAGAUUUAUCGGAGAAGGAUCGGCCCGCGUUGGAUUAGGUAGUUGGUGAGGUAACGGCUCACCAAGCCGACGAUCCAUAGCUGGUUUGAGAGGAUGAUCAGCCACACUGGGACUGAGACACGGCCCAGACUCCUACGGGAGGCAGCAGUGGGGAAUCUUAGACAAUGGGGGCAACCCUGAUCUAGCCAUGCCGCGUGAGUGAUGAAGGCCUUAGGGUUGUAAAGCUCUUUCAGCUGGGAAGAUAAUGACGGUACCAGCAGAAGAAGCCCCGGCUAACUCCGUGCCAGCAGCCGCGGUAAU